UGUGAAAACAAACUUGGCCAAAGAGGAAGAUAUGGAAGUAAAAGAGUUCCUUAAAACGUGUCAGGACAUGACAGGUGAAUAUUACUUCUUUAUUCAUGCAAUACAGCAACAUAAAUGAUCACCGAGUAUGGAACAUACUAAUCCGUAUAUCUAGUCAUUCUGAUAAAUUACUCAGCAUGCCAUUGAAGAUCAUUUUCAUGAAUUGUUCUGUGUGUUUUUAGGUACUAACCCUACCAUUGUCCUGACUAAUAAAACCAGUGGUAAUUACAAGGAUGUGGAAGGACGUUUGGGAACCAAUCGAGUAUUUCCAGUGGAGAAUUACACUGAGGACAGACAGCUGGCAACACGAGAGAAACACACAGAUAUAUUGAACAUCAUAAAAAGUGUCUUGGAUGAUGUCAAAUUCAGCUUGGAACAUGGAAGUGACCCAGAAGAAGAACGCACCAAGCACAUUAAAUUCCUAAUGAGCAUGGCACAUCGUAUUUUUUUGGCCAAGGAACUGGAAAAGAAGGAGGAAGAGGACAGGCAAAAAGAGAAAGAAAAGCCACCUCCUACUUUGUUUACAAGAAUUGUGAAUGUUAUAUUUUUUUGGAGAAAUUAAGCACAAAAAUAUAUUAUUCAUUUGAACAUGAUGUUCUUGUAUGCACAACUGUUGACACAAUUUGCUAUGCAUGUAAUCAAUUUAAUCCGCAAUAAUUCCUGUAAUUAGUGUGUCACAUAAAAUGAGAGGUUUCAUGAUCUGUUGAUAUAACGACAUUGAGCUAUGUAUUGGUCAGUGUCACUUAGUGAUAACUCUUCCAACAAUUACAAAUAAUCUUUAGUGUUCUGUGCACAAUUUGUACACAAUAGGCACGAUGAGCAUUAUCUAGACAAUACAUUAACAUUUUACAAAUGAAAUAAAAAUGCAGUAGGUUGAUUGGUGACAAUCUUGAUUGCUUAGCAGAAGCUUUAAUACUCCGCACUGUGAUGUUUAAAAUUGGACAGAUUGAGCUCAGCUACGAG